rnacentral:lncRNA from 1 species
GAACUUCGGCGUGGCAACGCCGGCGCCGGUGCUGGCGCUGGUGGUGUCGGCGCUCGUCAUCGGGCUGGCCGUCCUCUUCAUCGUACGGUCCGGAGCGCAAGAUUGAUGGAUCCAUCGCGCGAAGUAAUUGAAGACCUUUUUUUUUCUAGAAUAUAUACAAAGUAACCGAAGACCUACUUCUGAAGAACGAGUGUGCAGAUCUUCUUUGCAUCUGAUUUGCAAAGGUUCCUGGAGAUUCUAAUUAGCAUUACUUUCGACUGUAAAUCAUUCGAUGUAUGCAUAUGCAUAUAGCAAAUUUCGGUUCAAAUUCAAGUCAGCCAA